UUAUUUGUUAAUAUGCGUCGGGAGUUAUGAAUAUGAGAAACGGAGUCGUUACCUUUUCAUUGAAAUAUGAGCGUCAGCUUCAGCCAUUGAGAAAAAAACUCUGUACGAUCAUCAAGAAAAAACUCCACAAAAUAACAUCCCUCGGGGCUUUUAGCUUAAAAGCAUGCACAUUUGGAGAAAUAUUGAUCCACUGUCAUUAUGUCAAUUUUCUAUACAGAGGAGUCAUAUUUAUUACAUUUUUACCCAAAACGCGCUGUUUUCAUCAUAUGAGCGCUGUAUACACUGACUACUGUGUGUCCAAAUCAUACCCGAAGCCGGAGGGCGCUCUGUGCACCUUUAGUCCACAAAUAACACAGCAUGAACAAGAGGCAAUCAUGUGACAUACACGGGACUAACAGAGGCUACCAGACAUCGCUAUAAUCAUUGAUAUAAACAUACAGAACGUCACUUUUGAAAGUAAUAAAUACACGAUUGUGACGAUAUGUGGUUUAUCUGUGUUCUUCACGCCAUGUCAGCCACAUCACAUCAAAGAAGGUUAUUUAAAACAAUCGACUAGUAAAUUUGGAGAAAAAAACGUGGUUUUAAUCUUAUAAAUUGUCAUGUUUUGUUGGUGUGCUAAGCUAAUAUGCUAACGAGCCCAGAUAUGCACCUGUUCUAAUCUAAAGCUAAUGCAAAUAAAUAAUUCUUAAUAGUAAA